rnacentral:rRNA from 1 species
UACGUAGGACACAAACGUUGCGCGAAUUUACUGGGUGUAAAGGGUGCGUAGGCGGUUUAGGAAGUGGUUGGUGAAAUUUCACGGCUCAACCGUGAAACUGCCUUUCAAACUGCUAGACUUGAGUGAGGGAGAGGUCGUUGGAAUUCCCGGUGUAGCGGUGAAAUGCUUAGAUAUCGGGAGGAACACCAGUGGCGAAGGCUGCUGCCUGUGACGUUCCUGACGCUGAGGGACGAAAGCUUGGGGAGCAAACCGG